AGAUUGAACGCUGGCGGCAGGCCUAACACAUGCAAGUCGAGCGGUAGAGAGGUGCUUGCAUCUCUUGAGAGCGGCGGACGGGUGAGUAAUGCCUAGGAAUCUGCCUAGUGGUGGGGGAUAACGUUCGGAAACGGACGCUAAUACCGCAUACGUCCUACGGGAGAAAGCGGGGGACCUUCGGGCCUCGCGCCAUUAGAUGAGCCUAGGUCGGAUUAGCUAGUUGGUGAGGUAAUGGCUCACCAAGGCGACGAUCCGUAACUGGUCUGAGAGGAUGAUCAGUCACACUGGAACUGAGACACGGUCCAGACUCCUACGGGAGCAGCAGUGGGAAUAUUGGACAAUGGGCGAAAGCCUGAUCCAGCCAUGCCGCGUGUGUGAAGAAGGUCUUCGGAUUGAAAGCAACGUUUAAGUUGGGAGUAAGGUUGUAAACCUUAAGUACGUUGACCUAACGUUUGAACGUUUACCGACAAGAACUAAGCAACCGGCUAACGUUCGCGCCAGCCAGCCCGUA
rnacentral:rRNA from 1 species